UGGCUGAGUGGUAAAGCGUUUGGCUUCCUAACCGGGAGUUCCGGGUUCGAAUCCUGG
rnacentral:tRNA from 1 species